UCUCAUGACCUUUCUAGUCUUUAAUGCUUCCUGACUGGUAUGCCAAGGGCGAACGCUGCAGACAGAACGAGAUGCUGCUUCAGCAGCCUUGGGGGCUGGUGAGGCGGGGGGCCUGGGGAGCCGAGCACGAAUUGCUGUGUGUGCCACGGUAUGGCCACAGAGCGAACUCUUUUUGUUUCUUUGCAGUUAUAUGUCAGUACACUCACUCUCUUCAGACACACCAGAAGAGGGAUCCCUUUAGAGAUGGCUGUGAGCCACCAUGUGGUUGCUGGGAAUUGAACUCAGGACCUCUGGAAGAGCAGUCAGUGCUCUAACCGCUGAGCCAUCUCUACAGCUGUGUACCCACCUCCCCUUUAAUUACUGGGGUUUGAACUUGUAGCCUCAUUCCCUGGUCAGGGUCUUUUGGAGAACUGGACUUUUGUGGUUUUGUGGUAGAGUUUGGGGUUUCAGCCUAGCAUAUUUCCAGAAGAGUAUCAGUCUCUAGCAAGGAUGUGUGUUAGCAGCAGCAGGUAUCCCAGAGGCCUCAGCUACCGUAGUAGUGCUUCAAAAAGAAAAAAGGCAGUGUCCGAGAAACCAGGCCAAAAAAAAAAAACCCAA
rnacentral:lncRNA from 1 species